GUAUGACCUUCUCGUAAUAACAUUGUGACUAAUUCAACGUCAUCAGAAUCGAGGGCCCGGUGGACCCGUUUUAUGUGUUUGUUGGGAAAACUAUCGCUCCCAGGCUUGUCCAAACCGAAGUCGAAUCGGGAAUCGAUAAUUUGUUUGACUAUCUGCUCUGGCAAAGCUUUAUCGAGUGUUACAAAGUCAACGUCGGAUUUGACUAAAAUGUCAAUGCAUUUAGAAUAAAGUUCCUCGCAUGAUUUCCCACAUGUGUUUGCGAUUGAUAGAACCACUAGAAUGUCGUCUACUGAUGCCUUAUCAAGAAUGUCUAGCAAGCGCCUCUACAUAACGGCAACCAUUUCUGCAAUCUGAAAAACAUGAAAAGCAUACACAACCUCCACCAUAAAAUCAACCGCGGGCCGACACGCUUCAUGUAAACAUUCCUCAUCAACACA
rnacentral:lncRNA from 1 species